GCCUCUUGCUACCGUGGAUACACCCGACGAGACGCGCCGUACCGGGAUCCGCAAAGACGACGCACC
rnacentral:ncRNA from 1 species